rnacentral:rRNA from 1 species
GGUUUCCUACGGGGCGCAGCAGUGAGGAAUAUUGGUCAAUGGGCGGUAGCCUGAACCAGCCAAGUAGCGUGAAGGAUGAAGGUUCUAUGGAUUGUAAACUUCUUUUAUAAAGGAAUAAAGUGAGGCACGUGUGCCUUUUUGUAUGUACUUUAUGAAUAAGGAUCGGCUAACUCCGUGCCAGCAGCCGCGGUAAUACGGAGGAUCCGAGCGUUAUCCGGAUUUAUUGGGUUUAAAGGGAGCGUAGAUGGGCUUUUAAGUCAGCGGUAAAAAUUCGGGGCUCAACCCCGUCCGGUCGUUGAAACUGG